rnacentral:rRNA from 1 species
UGUGUAAGUAUAAGCCUCUACACGGUAAGACUGCGAAUGGCUCAUUACAACGGUAAUAGUUUAUUUGAUGUCCAAAUUUACAUGGAUAACUGUGGUAAUUCUAGAGCUAAUACAUGCGCCAGUGCUCGACUUUUAGGAAGAGCAGGUCUUACUAGCUGAAAACCAGCCCGUUCGCGGACUCGGAUGAAUCACAGUAACUAACCGAAUUGCAGUUGCUGCAAUGUGUCAUUCAAGUUUCCGACCUAUCAGCUUCCGACGGUAGGGUAUUGGCCUACCGUGGCAUUGACGGGUAACGGGGAAUUGGGGUUUGAUUCCGGAGAGGGAGCCUGAGAAACGGCUACCACAUCUAAGGAAGGCAGCAGGCGCGCAAAUUACCCAAUCCUGACUCAGGGAGGUAGUGACAAGAAAUAACAACACGGGGCACUAUAGUUGCUUUGUGAUUGGAAUGAGGUUAGUAUAAACCCCUUGCCAAGUAUCAAUUGGAGGGCAAGUCUGGUGCCAGCAGCCGCGGUAAUUCCAGCUCCAAUAGCGUAUAUUAAAGUUGUUGCAGUUAAAAAGCUCGUAGUUGAAUUUCUGCUGCGGCGACCUCGUGAUGCUAUGCGUUGUGUGUGUCGCUUCAGCAUUUUCCUUUGCACUGCACUUUAUUGUGUGUGUGUUGGGGAAGCUUUACUUUGAGAAAAAUAGAGUGUUUCAAGCAGGCUGUGCCUUGAAUACUGCAGCAUGGAAUAAUGAGAUAGACCUGCAUUCCUAUUUCGUUGGUUUUGAGGAAUGAGUGAUGAUUAAUAGGGAUAGUUGGGGGCAUUUGUAUUCGACUGUCAGAGGUGAAAUUCUUAGAUUUGUCGAAGACAGACAACUGCGAAAGCAUUUGCCAAGGAUAUUCUCAUUAAUCAAGAACGAAAGUUAGGGGAUCGAAGACGAUCAGAUACCGUCGUAGUCUUAACCAUAAACUAUGCCGACUAGAGAUUGGAGGGCGUCGUCCUAGACCUCUUCAGCACCUUAUGAGAAAUCAAAGUUUCUGGGUUCUGGGGGGAGUAUGGUCGCAAGGCUGAAACUUAAAGGAAUUGACGGAAGGGCACCACCAGGAGUGGAGCCUGCGGCUUAAUUUGACUCAACACGGGAAAACUUACCAGGUCCAGACAUAGGAAGGAUUGACAGAUUGAUAGCUCUUUCUUGAUUCUAUGGGUGGUGGUGCAUGGCCGCUCUUAGUUGGUGGAGUGAUUUGUCUGGUUAAUUCCGAUAACGAACGAGACCUUAACCUGCUAAAUAGAGGCUGCGGAUAUUACUUCUGCGUUCUCUUCUUAGAGGGACUGUUGUGUGCCUAAUCAAAGGAAGUCUGAGGCAAUAACAGGUCUGUGAUGCCCUUAGACGUUCUGGGCUGCACGCGCGCUACAAUGAUGCAUUCAACGAGUUGUUAUCCUUGUCUGAAGAGACUGGGUACUCUCUUGAGUGUGCAUCGUAAUGGGGAUAGACUAUUGUAACUAUUAGUCUUCAACGAGGAAUUCCUUGUAAGCGUGAGUCAUCAGCUCAUGCUGAAUACGUCCCUGCCCUUUGUACACACCGCCCGUCGCUCCUACCGAUUGGAUGAUCCGGUGAACUAUUCAGAGUUGCUGUGUGGAUUUUGUCUGCUCAGUCGGCAAAGUUUCGUGAACCUUAUCACUUAGAGGAAGGAGAAGUCG